rnacentral:lncRNA from 1 species
GUACCGCAAGCCAAGCUGUCGACGGCACUAAAUCCAGGACUAAUCCCGAGCCCUGCGCCCCGCGUACGAACCCCAUCUACCAUUACAUCCUCUCUUGAUAUAUGAGAGAGAGAGCGAGCUCUCUUGUUAAGGAUAUAAGAUUUAGGGCUGGCAACGGGCCGGGGUAUCAGACGCGGCCCUAACUGGACACAAGCCCAACCCCAUCUUUAUUAGGGCCGGCCCGGCGG